ACUCCUCGCUCCGCUCCUUCCUCCGCGGGAAGGGCAGGCCCCGGAGGCAGCGAGCGCCCCGGGGGUGGCCGGGCAGCCGGAUGCUCCCGGGGUUGCGGGCUGUGGCCCCGGGGGCUGAGGGCGGCGCGGGUGCGGCGGAAGCAGGGAAGCCGCGAACCGGCCUUCUGGCUGGCCACAGCGCCCUGCACGGACGAUCAGUGAAUGGAGAUUACUCAAGUAUUUAUCGAGAACUUGCAGUGGGCUAGGCACAGUUCAGGUAGAUCAACAAACCGAAAGACCCUGCCCUAGGGGAGCUUUCGCUCCAAUGCGGGGAGAGGGUGGAUGAUUGCAGUUUUGCCCAGUAAUUUUUGGGACCCUCAUGCCACCAUUAAUUAGCUACACACAUUUCACCGAAAGUCUACCUUACAUAUUAAUCAGAAGAAGUGGAAGAAUAAACACAGAAGAAGCAAAAAAGGAAGGAACUUUCUCACUGAAAGUUUCUAUUUAAUAUUAAGUCUUAAAAGUACUCCUGGAAGGACAAAAGGUGUUCUUAAUAAAUUAUAUUCGCAAAUAUUGGAUUUAAUCCUACCAGUAAUGAAGCAGUCAGUUACUUUCUAGAUGUGCAGAAAUACGUAAUGAACAAAAAAAACUAAUUCCUAUUCCAUUUUUUAUUAGGUCCACAGUUAUUUCACUUCUAAAUAAAUAUGGUUUUUUAAAAGUGGCACGCGGUGGAAUGUAAUUGAGACAGGAUGGAGUUCCUAGAGAAAUUUUACUUCCUCAAUCUGCACUCCACCUUACUUAAAAUACAGUCUUGGGUCUGUAAUUCCCUUAUCUGACUCUCAAGGAAAUGACAAAGUAAUGCCUAGAUUGGACUAAACCUCAUUUAACUUCAAGGCUGACCUUUCUCAAAGUUGAACCUUCGUCUUGUGAGGAACAGAAAGAUCAAGAACUCUGAAGCACCUCGACUUUCCACCUGUGAAGAUGUGUUCAAAUUUGCAACGUGCGGCCACACCUAUGAGGCAGGAGUGCAGUGGCGAGAUCUGGACUCACUGCAACCUCUGCCUCCUGGCUUCAAGCAAUUCUCAUGCUUCAGCCUGUAGCUGGAACUACAGGUCACUCCCUCUGGAGGAAACCAGCUGCCACUUUGUGAGGAUACUCAUAGUCCUGUGGAGGCAUAUCCUCCAUAUGGCUGAGACCUCCUGCGAACAACCAUCACUGACUUGCCAGACAUGAGUGUGCCACCUUGGAAGCAGAUUUUCCAGCCCCAGUUAAGCCUUCAGAUGACAUCAGCCCCUGCUAAUCUCUUGACUACAACCUCAUGAGAGACCCUGAGCCAGAACUAGCCAGGCUUACCCCUCAUGGUUACAAAGUGGCUGCAACAGCUCCAGGUGUUCUAUCCUUUAACACAGAAUAACUCAAACAACAAGACCCAAUAUUCAGACAAGAAGGAAAGGGACUUUUGGAGAGUGAAGAAAACUUUCCUAGAAACCUCAAACUUCUCCCCAUGCCUUAUUGGCCAGAUUGUAUCCCAUGCCCAUUUCUAAACCAAUCAUUGGCAAAGUGAGUGGAAUUGACGUGAUUAGAUUAACUUUACCAAGAAUGCAUCCUCAGAGAGGCUGAGAAAAAGUCCAGCCUCCUUUGAAGAGCCUGGCUACCUUUCACCUGAACAAAACAAGAAUUCUGAUGAAAAAUGGAGAAUGUAUGUGGAGCAGGCACCCGGAGUGUCUAUGCCAGGAUUUUUUUUCAGUGCGUUUCACCGGUUAUAUUUUUGUCUCUUUACCUUACAAGAUAUGUGGCACGUUUGCCUAAAACAAGCCUUGCUUUCUGAUUUCUGUGCACUAGGCACUUAAACCUUGCAAAUGUCGCUUACCUAACAGUCACUGUCAAGGAGUACCUGGCUAAAGAAUCUCCAGCUAGACAAAGUAGAAGUGUCUGUGCUCUGGCAGUUGAAUAUAUUGUAUCAGGCUCAACAGCACCUUUCACCAAAGGAUGAGACUUCACAACCAUUAGAUCUUCUUUUAUUUUGUUUUUAUUAAAAAAAAAA
rnacentral:lncRNA from 1 species